rnacentral:rRNA from 1 species
GACGAACCGAGCGAACGUUGUUCGGAAUCACUGGGCUUAAAGGGCGCGUAGGCGGGUGCUCAAGUCUGUGGUGAAAUCCUCCGGCUCAACCGGAGAACUGCCAUGGAUACUGGGUGCUCGAGGGUGGUAGGGGUAUGCGGAACUAUCGGUGGAGCGGUGAAAUGCGUUGAUAUCGAUAGGAACUCCGGUGGCGAAGGCGGCAUACUGGACCACUUCUGACGCUGAGGCGCGAAAGCCAGGGG